rnacentral:rRNA from 1 species
AUUGAACGCUGGCGGCAGGCUUAACACAUGCAAGUCGAGCGGAGAUGAGGUGCUUGCACCUUAUCUUAGCGGCGGACGGGUGAGUAAUGCUUAGGAAUCUGCCUAUUAGUGGGGGACAACAUUCCGAAAGGAAUGCUAAUACCGCACACGUCCUACGGGAGAAAGCAGGGGAUCUUCGGACCUUGCGCUAAUUGAUGAGCCUAAGUCGGAUUAGCUAGUUGGUGGGGUAAAGGCCUACCAAGGCGACGAUCUGUAGCGGGUCUGAGAGGAUGAUCCGCCACACUGGGACUGAGACACGGCCCAGACUCCUACGGGAGGCAGCAGUGGGGAAUAUUGGACAAUGGGGGGAACCCUGAUCCAGCCAUGCCGCGUGUGUGAAGAAGGCCUUAUGGUUGUAAAGCACUUUAAGCGAGGAGGAGGCUACUGAGACUAAUACUCUUGGAUAGUGGACGUUACUCGCAGAAUAAGCACCGGCUAACUCUGUGCCAGCCGCCGCAGUAACAC